GUUUUGUCUGCAUGUACAUAUGUAAGCCACGUGCAUGCCUACUCGGCAGAGGUAAGGAAAGUGUGUAAGAUCCUCUGGGCUACAGUUACACAUGGCUCUGAGCUACCAAAUGGAUACUGGGAACUAAGCCUGGGUGAUCUGCAAGAACAAGUGUUCUUAACUACUGAGACACCUCUGCAGACUGAGAACUGUGUUGUGUAUUCAGAAGUGCUGCAGCCGCAGCGGGUAUCAGCCAGUAUCAGCCGGUAUCAGUCUCAACACAGGGUCACUGCUUAUUCUUUGCAACUCCACCCUCUUCCGCUUCUAGGCUCUACUAAAACCGGUGGGGAGGUGGCUUUGAGAGACUCCGGGGCAGGACCAAGCUUAUUUCCUGAUUCUUCUGGUUCUUCUCCCAUUUCAGUCCACGCUCUCCUCUCAGUUCCCUUUCACUGGGAGCUUUCCUAAGGUGAAAGAAGACUUAGGGGAAACUCGGUUAUUCAGCAGCGCCUAGAAUCUCAACUGCCUCAUGGAAUCCUGGGAAAUGUUCAUGCAUAAGGAUAUUGCCUUAGCUGACUCAGGUUGCCCCAUAUUAUGGUACAUAAUCAACCCUCGGUGAAGCCUUUAAAAAAAAAUCAGGUUGAAGAGUGGAUUAAAGGAGGCGAGUACAGCACAUCUGCCUUUUGAGCUAUCAACUCAGGGAUUUUCUCAAUUGUGAAAUCUUGCAGAAGUUAUUUUUUCUUUCUCAAGACCCAGGCAAUGACAGCACUGCUUACUCCAGAUCUGGCCUUUCCUUCACCACCACUGUCUUGUGAAUGAUCAUCUGCUCCGUCUACAUCUGAACCCAGGACUACCAGCCCAGGGACAGCACCACUCACAAUGGGCAGGACCCUUCUUCCUUGAUCACCAGCUGAGAAAAUGCCUUACAGCUGGAUCUCACGGAUGAAUUUCCUCAAGGGAGGCUCCUUUCUCUGUGAUAACUCC
rnacentral:sRNA from 1 species